AACCUGCCAAAGAGAAGAGAUUGCCAUAUAUUUCUCUGUAGUAUUAAAUAAUGAAAAUACUAAGUAAUUAAAGAGUAAUUAGAAGCACUUCAAUGUACAAAAGGUUAUUUCUUUAUUUUUUAAUCAAUGAAAAUAUAUGAACUGUAUGUGAACAAAGGAAGGAUGAGUUUAAAGAAAGCAGUCAGACAGUCUGCUCUAAGCUUCUUCAUCCGCUGACUCAGAAGGAUUGAGUCCUCUCCUUCCCCAUCAGGAAACAGACACUAAUAUGCUUACAAUAAACUUUACUCUGAUGAAAAAGGCAUUAAAAAGGUUUAACUCAUGAUUGCUUAUAGUGUCAUAGUUUAUCAGGACGUUUAACUGAUAAAUGCAUCUAAUGCUGCAUUUCUUUUUUCCUUUUAAAUAAUGUCAUUGCUAAAAGGCAAAAUCCCCUACAUCAACGAGUAAUUCGUUGUGAUAAUUCAGUACACAUAUCUGUCCAAAUUCUGCCCAAGUGUUGUUGGAUAAAACUAAAAAUUAUAAUUCUAUAACUGAAAUCAAUCUGAAAUAAAAUAUAAAUAUUAGAUGAAGUUAUAAAUGAUGCCUUGGAAACUGACUAAAAUAAAGUUGACUUAAAAAAAAUAAUUAAAGCUUAAUUAAAAAUAUUUUAAAUUUUUACUGAAAAUAUAAAAAUAAAGGUAGAUUUAAAUAUUAAUAAAUACUACUAAGACUAAAGACAUAACACUAAACUAACAAUAUGUCCAUGUAUACUGCUAUUUAUAGUACAACAAAUAGUCCAUAGGUUUUUGUAAGAUUCACUAGUGGCAAAUGAUUUUUUUCAACUGAACUUCUUUUAUGCUUUGUUUGGUCUCAAAAUACUUGUAAACAUUGCUGUUUAAGAGUAAUUAGAAGCACUUCAAUGUACAAAAUGUUAUUUCUUUAAUUUUUAAUAAAUGAAAAUAUAUGAACUGUUUGUGAACAAAGGAAGGAUGGGCUUAAAGAAAGCAGUCAGACAGUCUGCUCUAAGCUUCUUCAUCCGCUGACUCAGCAGGAUUGAGUCCUCUCCUUCCCCAUACUCUGAUGACAAAGGCAUUACAAAUAUUUCGUCUGGAUAAUGAAAUUGCUAAAAGGCAAACCACCCUACAUCAACAAGUGUAAUUCUGGCAAAAAUUACACUGCAAAGGUACCAGAGAAGCUCUUCUGAAGUAGAACUAAAGAUGUCUUUACACAGUUGAGAUGAGGCUGCUCUGAGCCUGUUCAAAAUUCAGACUAAAUUAUGCCUGAUCAGUCCCACUUCAGCCCCUAGUAUCAAAAGUAAACAAUUGUAAUUGCCGUGUCUUUACACAGACUGCUUAAUGCUGCUCAGAGGUGGCAUAAAUGUAUUUACACAGCUGUGAUAACCAUAUGGCUUGGUGCUAGUGGCUGGUCAGGUGGGCUGGCAUUAUUUAAUCAGGCAUUACAUCUUUACCCAGAAUUUUGAGCAGCCUCAGAGCAGCCUUAACUCAGCUGUGUAAAGAUGCUUUAAGUGUCUUCACAGACUGUUCAAUGCUGCUCAGAGGUGUCAUAGAUGCAUUCACAAAGCAAUUACAACUGUAUGAUUUAAUGCUAGGUGCUGAGGUGGAUCAGAGCAGGCAUAAUUAAGCCUGGUUUUUAUGCAGCAUUGUCGAUACCCAAUUUUGAGCAGGCACAGAACAGCCUUAACUUGUCUAUGUAAAGAUGCCUUAAUUAAUCAACCAAUAUAUAUAUUUUUUGUACUGUAAGGAUAAAAGAAACUCAGAUACUUUGAUCUCCUGAGAAACAGACAAUACAAACAUGCACGGGCAUCUUCGAGAUAUCCCACAGAGUGGAUGUGCAGGAGACCUCCUUCCCCUCUGGCCAUUUGUUUCAUUUUAAACCCCUUCACCCAUGUUUCCUUCUACUCAAUCUGCUCAAAAUGAUUACAUGAAAAUGUCAAUGCAAGUAAACUAACAGUCAUGUCUGGUAUCAUUUGAAAUGUCUCAGUGCAACUGGUACAAUGGUCUCAAUCUUACAAAAGUAGACUAAAAGAUAAUACAGAUCCUAAGAGUUAAGAGAUAUUUUGCUUACUGUAAUGGGAGUGCCCUUUCCCAGGGUCCUUCAUGUAAAUUACCUUCUGUUCCCAUUGAGUUGGAAACCACCCGGGUUUGGGAUCUGAGUCAAUGCAAAUUCCAAGUGCUAGUUCCUGUCUCUAUCUCGGAGGAUGUUUGUCUUGGUCUGAGAUACUUAAAGAAAUGUUGCAAGAGGAUCAGGGUGAUUCUGUAGCCAGAAAGCCUGUAGUGUGGUGUGUGUCUUCACUUUCUAAGGUCAGGUCUGAUGACAGUCACAAAAAACAGAAGGUGACACCACGAUGUCUGUGGAAAGUGGAAGACUAUUCAGAACAUGUCCCACUCUCUGUGAAAAGAAGGGUGAUAUAUGCUUGUCAGCAUGGAAAGAACUACAAGAAGACAACCACAGCAGAUGAUUUGAAAGUACCUCACAGAUGAGCACAUGGUCAAGAAAGGAUGCAUCUUGGAGGCUUCCAGGUGGACCAUCGGCCGAAUGAGAACUAAUGCAAUUCCUAAACAUGUGAAUGGCAAUGACUGUGGAGUUUUUGUCUGUAAAUAUGCAGACUUCCUUUCUCAAGGAAAGCCACUCACAUUCAGACAGUGUGACAUUCCAGUCUUCAGGAAAAUUAUGGUUUGGGAGAUAACACAUCAGACAUCUUAUGUUCUUUGUGUAAAUUCAAUUUAGGAUGUAAUUAUGAAUAGUUCUGAGAUUAAUAAAAUCUUAGGUUUAACUGCA